rnacentral:rRNA from 1 species
CGCGUAGGCGGCCGAUCCAGUCAGGCGUGAAAGCCCCGGGCUCAACCUGGGAAUUGCGUUUGAUACUGAUUGGCUGGAGUCCGGGAGAGGGUAGUGGAAUUCCCAGUGUAGAGGUGAAAUUCGUAGAUAUUGGGAAGAACACCGGUGGCGAAGGCGGCUACCUGGCCCGGUACUGACGCUGAGGCGCGAAAGCGUGGGGAGCAAACAGGAUUAGAUACCCUGGUAGUCC